rnacentral:rRNA from 1 species
CCUACGGGAGGCAGCAGUGGGGAAUUUUGGACAAUGGGCGCAAGCCUGAUCCAGCAAUGCCGCGUGAGUGAAGAAGGCCUUCGGGUUGUAAAGCUCUUUUGUCAGGGAAGAAACGGUGGGAGCUAAUAUCUCCUGCUAAUGACGGUACCUGAAGAAUAAGCACCGGCUAACUACGUGCCAGCAGCCGCGGUAAUACGUAGGGUGCAAGCGUUAAUCGGAAUUACUGGGCGUAAAGCGUGCGCAGGCGGUUUUGUAAGACUGUCGUGAAAUCCCCGGGCUCAACCUGGGAAUGGCGAUGGUGACUGCAAGGCUAGAGUUUGGCAGAGGGGGGUAGAAUUCCACGUGUAGCAGUGAAAUGCGUAGAUAUGUGGAGGAACACCGAUGGCGAAGGCAGCCCCCUGGGUCAAAACUGACGCUCAUGCACGAAAGCGUGGGGAGCAAACGAGGUAUUAGACUACCCGUGGUAGUCCACGCCCUAAACGAUGUCUACUAGUUGUCGGUACUUAUGAUGUACGCNGCGACGCGNGAGUAGACCGCCGUCGGGAGGUAACGGUCGCGAGAAGUUAAACGUUAAACCGUUAAGUAAGUUAGUUAGGACGGNGAGAGAGCGACGACGACGACGACGGAGGGAGGAGG